rnacentral:rRNA from 1 species
AUUGAACGCUGGCGGCAGGCUUAACACAUGCAAGUCGAGCGAGCGGCGGACGGGUGAGUAAUGUCUGGGAAACUGCCUGAUGGAGGGGGAUAACUACUGGAAACGGUAGCUAAUACCGCCUACCAUAAGAUGUGCUCAGAUGGGAGUGGCUAGUAGGUGGGGUAAGGGCUCACCUUGGCGACGAUCCCUAGCUGGUCUGAGAGGUUGACCAGCAACACUGGAACUGAGACACGGGACAGACUCCUACGGGAGGCAGCAGUGGGGAAUAUUGCACAAUGGGCGCAAGCCUGAUGCAGCCAUGCCGCGUGUGUGAAGAAGGCCUUCGGGUUGUAAAGCACUUUCAGCGAGGAGGCGUUACUCGCAGAAGAAGCACCGGCUAACUCCGUGCCAGCCGCCGCGGUAAUUC